UGUGGGAGCGAGCUUGCUCGCGAUUGCGGUAAGUCAGUCAACUGUGAUGUUGAAUUUGACGCCGUCAUCGCGAGCAAGCUCGCUCCCACA
rnacentral:misc_RNA from 1 species